rnacentral:rRNA from 1 species
UACGAAGGGGGCUAGCGUUGCUCGGAAUCACUGGGCGUAAAGGGUGCGUAGGCGGGUUUUUAAGUCAGAGGUGAAAUCCUGGAGCUCAACUCCAGAACUGCCUUUGAUACUGGAAGUCUUGAGUAUGGGAGAGGUGAGUGGAACUGCGAGUGUAGAGGUGAAAUUCGUAGAUAUUCGCAAGAACACCAGUGGCGAAGGCGGCUCACUGGCCCAUUACUGACGCUGAGGCACGAAAGCGUGGGGAGCAAACAGG